rnacentral:rRNA from 1 species
AUUGAACGCUGGCGGCAGGCCUAACACAUGCAAGUCGAGCGAGCGGCGGACGGGUGAGUAAUAUCUGGGAAACUGCCUGAUGGAGGGGGAUAACUACUGGAAACGGUAGCUAAUACCGCAUACCAUCAGAUGUGCCCAGAUGGGAUUAGCUAGUAGGUGGGGUAACGGCUCACCUAGGCGACGAUCCCUAGCUGGUCUGGGAGGAUGACCAGCCACACUGGACCUCAUGCCCGGCCCAGACUCCAACGGGAGGCAGCAGUGGGGAAUAUUGCACAAUGGGCGCAAGCCUGAUGCAGCCAUGCCGAGUGUGUGAAGAAGGCCUUCGGGUUGUAAAGCACUUUCAGCGGUGAGGCGUUACCCGCAGAAGAAGCACCGGCUAACUCCGUGCCAGCAGCCGCGGUAAUAC